UUUUUGAAGAGUUUGAUCCUGGCUCAGGAUGAACGCUGGCGGCGUGCCUAAGACAUGCAAGUCGAGUGGGUUUAGACCCACGGCGAACGGGUGAGUAAUACAUAGGAACUUUCUUCAAGUUGGGAAUAUCCUGCCGAAAGGCAGUGCAAUACCCAAUGUG
rnacentral:rRNA from 1 species